rnacentral:lncRNA from 1 species
UUCGACAUAGAAAAUAAUGACUCAAAUCUUUGACAUUUGUUAUAAUCUAGGUUAUGUAGUAUAAUAUAUAGUCUGUGUCAUUUCAAAACUUUUCAAAACCAAAACAAACAUUUUGCUCAUAACUGGAUUAUAUCUUUAUUUAUCUAAAUACGAGAUUUCAAAGCUCCAAAUGGCUUUAAGCGGUCAAGUGGACUUUAAAAAAAGUUGUACCCCUAACCAACGGCAUUCUACUUGUCCUGUGUUUUAGUUUGGUUCCAAAACUAUCGAAAUGUCUCGCAAAGUCGCAACGCACUGCCUUCGUUGAGUCAGCUUGAAGAGCUAGUAAGCUUUUUGGAAAACAAACCAUGUUUGAUUAUGAUGGGCCCCUGAUCGUACUGCAAAUGCGAGCAGUCAUCAGGCACGAUCCGAAAACAACAGCCCCAAACAGUGACGUAGUGGGUGUAUGAAAAUAUUGGAGCAGUGGUGUAAGUACUGGAAGGACAAAAAGGAGCAGUUCAGAGGAAGUUCCAGUUCUAUUGCAGCUGCAAGGCAACAUGAAGAAUUUGCCAGAACUCGGUGUAAUUGAGUUAAAAAUACAUUCCAUUAUGCGAGGAGACUGUUUUGGAUUC